rnacentral:rRNA from 1 species
UACAGAGGGUGCGAGCGUUAAUCGGAGUUACUGGGCGUAAAGGGCGCGUAGGCGGUUGUUUAAGAUUGAUGUGAAAUCCCUGGGCUUAACCUAGGAAGUGCAUCGAAGACUGGACGGCUAGAGUAUUGUAGAGGGUGGCGGAAUUUCCGGUGUAGCGGUGAAAUGCGUAGAGAUCGGAAAGAACACCAGUGGCGAAGGCGGCCACCUGGACAAAUACUGACGCUGAGGCGCGAAAGCGUGGGGAGCAAACAGG